GGAAUAUUGGUCAAUGGAGGCAACUCUGAACCAGCCAUGCCGCGUGCAGGAUGACGGUCCUAUGGAUUGUAAACUGCUUUUGUACGGGAAGAAAUGUAUCUACGUGUAGAUAUUUGACGGUACCGUAAGAAUAAGGAUCGGCUAACUCCGUGCCAGCAGCCGCGGUAAUACGGAGGAUCCGAGCGUUAUCCGGAAUUAUUGGGUUUAAAGGGUUCGUAGGCGGUUGAGUAAGUCAGUGGUGAAAUCUUAUAGCUUAACUAUAAAAUUGCCGUUGAUACUGCUUGACUUGAAUAGUAUGGAAGUAAUUAGAAUAUGUAGUGUAGCGGUGAAAUGCUUAGAUAUUACAUGGAAUACCAAUUGCGAAGGCAGAUUACUACGUACUUAUUGACGCUGAUGAACGAAAGCGUGGGUAGCG
rnacentral:rRNA from 1 species